UCUAGCACUUUCAGUGUUCGAGUUGUAAUUUGAAGAAGGUAACUUUGGAAUUGGCUCUUGUCUAUGUUCCUUGGAACAGGACGUCACAGAGGGUGAGAAUCCCGUGCGAUGAGAUGUCCAAUUCUAUGUAAAGUGCUUUCGAAGAGUCGAGUUGUUUGGGAAUGCAGCUCUAAGUGGGUGGUAAAUUCCAUCUAAAGCUAAAUAUUGGCGAGAGACCGAUAGCGAACAAGUACAGUGAUGGAAAGAUGAAAAGAACUUUGAAAAGAGAGUGAAAAAGUACGUGAAAUUGUUGAAAGGGAAGGGCUUGAGAUCAGACUUGGUAUUUUGUGUUCCUUAUCCUUCUUGGAUUAGGUUCCUCACAGCUUACCGGGCCAGCAUCGGUUUGGAUGGCAGGAUAAUGACAUUGGAAUGUAGCUUUGCUUCGGUGAAGUGUUAUAGACUUUGUUGAUACUGC
rnacentral:rRNA from 1 species